GACUUAUAGGUUUAACGGCCGCGGUACCCUGACCGUGCUAAGGUAGCGUAAUAAUUCGCCCUUUAAUUGUGGGCUUGUAUGAAUGGAUCCACGAAAGCUAAGCUGUCUCCCCAGUAAAAAUAAAAAUUGGCCCUUAGGUGAAAAGACCUAAAUAAAAUCAUAGGACAAGAAGACCCCGUAGAGCUCCGUAUUUUUAUAGGUAUAAUCAUAAAUAAUUUAUCCUAUCUUUAUACUAAAUAAAAUACUUAGCUGGGGCGGCUAAGGAAAAUAUAAUCUUCCAUUUAAAUCGCCUGCUUUAAUUAGAGCAUUUAGGUUAUAAACCAAAAUUUAAAUUGACCCUUUUAAGACCAGAAGAAAUAGUUACCUCGGGGAUAACAGAUUUAUCCUUCUUGAGAGUUCGCAUUGACAGAAGGGUUUGGCACCUCGAUGUUGGCUUAGGGUACCCAGGAGGUUGCAGAAGCUUCCAAUGGUAGGUUUGUUCAACCUUUAAAACCCCU
rnacentral:rRNA from 1 species